AGUGAACGCUGGCGGUAGGCCUAACACAUGCAAGUCGAACGGCAGCACAGUAAGAGCUUGCUCUUACGGGUGGCGAGUGGCGGACGGGUGAGGAAUACAUCGGAAUCUACUUUUUCGUGGGGGAUAACGCAGGGAAACUUACGCUAAUACCGCAUACGACCUACGGGUGAAAGCAGGGGAUCUUCGGACCUUGCGCGAUUGAAUGAGCCGAUGUCGGAUUAGCUAGUUGGCGGGGUAAAGGCCCACCAAGGCGACGAUCUGUAGCUGGUCUGAGAGGAUGAUCAGCCACACUGGAACUGAGACACGGUCCAGACUCCUACGGGAGGCAGCAGUGGGGAAUAUUGGACAAUGGGCGCAAGCCUGAUCCAGCCAUACCGCGUGGGUGAAGAAGGCCUUCGGGUUGUAAAGCCCUUUUGUUGGGAAAGAAAAGCAGCAGGUUAAUACCCCGCUGUUCUGACGGUACCCAAAGAAUAAGCACCGGCUAACUUCGUG
rnacentral:rRNA from 1 species